GGGAAGGCGGCUGUAGAAGUGUCAAGUUGUAGCCUUGGUUAUGGAGUUAGGUCUCUUCUUCCUA
rnacentral:tRNA from 1 species